rnacentral:rRNA from 1 species
UACGUAGGGUGCGAGCGUUGUCCGGAAUUAUUGGGCGUAAAGAGCUCGUAGGCGGCUUGUCACGUCGGUUGUGAAAGCCCCGGGGCUUAACCCCGGGUCUGCAGUCGAUACGGGCAGGCUAGAGUUCGGUAGGGGAGAUCGGAAUUCCUGGUGUAGCGGUGAAAUGCGCAGAUAUCAGGAGGAACACCGGUGGCGAAGGCGGAUCUCUGGGCCGAUACUGACGCUGAGGAGCGAAAGCGUGGGGAGCGAACAGG